AAGUACUUCAUUUUUCAUUGCAUUUGUUUAUUUUAGGGCACUCCAUGUCGGACGAAAAGAUCAGUUAAUGGAGCAGUUUGACUGGAAUGGACGCUUCUUAUCUUGCUACAGCAAAAGAUUUAAAAAUAUUCGACAAAACUUUGUGAGCUGCGAUUAUGAUGGAGGCGUUCGUGGAGCUGAGGAGCUGCGUCACCAAAGCAUGGCAUGCGGUUGUUCUGAUACUAUAUUGCAGAAAAUUAAUAUAUUUAAUAUAAAUAUAAUAUAUUGCUGUACUAUUAUUUCUUUGAAUGCUGUAUAAACCAUGUAAAAUAUUGGAAUAAAGACUAAAGACUUAAUCUCAAUAA